rnacentral:misc_RNA from 1 species
GAAAAUCUUGACGAUCCUCUGAAAUGAAUAAGCCAGGAAGUUCAGCAUCCAUUCCUCUGUUGGGCAAUUAUAGCUCUCAAAAUUCAAGAAAAGAAAGUAAUGAGACUGUGCCAUCGGAUAAGCAAGAUUCUGCUACUUACUGCCAAUAUCAAGCACGGCGUCCUUCCCUUUCACAGGCGGUUGACGAGAUCAAACAGCUCUACACCAUUGCCUUCCCUAUGAUCGUUACAGGGCUUCUCAUCUAUGGCAAGUCUGCUAUAUCAAUGUUCUUCAUGGGGAAGUUAGGGAAAGAAGCAUUAGCAGGAGGGUCUCUCUCCAUCGGCAUCGCUAACAUUUCUGGUUAUUCUGUCAUCUCCGGCCUUGCCAUGGGCAUGGAAGCCAUCUCUUCUCAAGCCAGUGGAGCGAAGCAG